AUUCCAUUCAAUUCCAUUCCAUUCCUUUCCACUCGGGUUGAUUCCAUUCCAUUCAAUUCCGUUCCGUUCUGUUCCAUUCCAUUCCAUUGCAUUAGAUACCAUUCCAUUCCACUCGGGAUGAUUCCAUUCAAUUCCAUUAUAUUCCGUUCAAUUCCAUUGCAUUCCAUUCCAUUCCAUUUCACUCGGGUUUAUUCCAUUCCAUUCCAUUCCAUUCCAUUCCAUUCCAUUCCAUUCCAUUCCAUUAGUUUCUAAUCGGGUGAUUCCAAUCCAUUCCAUUAUAUUCAAG
rnacentral:lncRNA from 1 species